rnacentral:rRNA from 1 species
UACGAAGGGGGCUAGCGUUGCUCGGAAUCACUGGGCGUAAAGGGUGCGUAGGCGGGUCUUUUAAGUCAGAGGUGAAAUCCUGGAGCUCAACUCCAGAACUGCCUUUGAUACUGAGAUCUGAGUUCGGGGAGAGGUGAGUGGAACUGCGAGUGUAGAGGUGAAAUUCGUAGAUAUUCGCAAGAACACCAGUGGCGAAGGCGGCUCACUGGCCCGAUACUGACGCUGAGGCACGAAAGCGUGGGGGAGCAAAACAG